AGAUGUGAAAGCCCGGGGCUCAACCUCGGAAUUGCAUUUGAAACUGGCAAACUAGAGUACUGUAGAGGGGGUAGAAUUUCAGGUGUAGCGGUGAAAUGCGUAGAGAUCUGAAGGAAUACCGGUGGCGAAGGCGGCCCCCUGGACAGAUACUGACACUCAGAUGCGAAAGCGUGGGGAGCAAACAGGAUUAGAUACCCUCGUAG
rnacentral:rRNA from 1 species